rnacentral:lncRNA from 1 species
UGGCAGCUGGCAUGUGCUGCUGGGAGUGGUUUUCUGGUUGUGAAGUUUUGCUUCUACUUAGGUGUGGGGUCCUAGAGUGGAGUGCUUAAAAGCUACCUGUCCUUGCUGUUAUUAAAUUCCUUUUCCCACGGUGGAACUGCAGAAGAGGCACUAUGCAAUAACCUGUGAUCAGGAUCCCAGUUAUGUGCUGGAUAGGCAGCUGAAGAAGCUCCUAGACCUGUCUUUCUAAGAUUUGGACAGAGCCUAUAGAUAAGCAUGAAAGUCGAUCUGUUGGUGAAAGCUCUGGAGAGGUGCAGAGACAGGGAGGAAACGAGCUCCCCUUGCGAUUAAAACUGUUGAAACAGCUGUUAUCUGGUAGCUGCUCUCACCGGGCAGUUUCCUGAUGUCAGUCAGCGGCUGUGGGGCUGCAGCAGCAAUUGGAGCCUGAGGAGAGGCAGCCGCACCCCGGCUGUCCCCACACCCUGAAGGAGCUGCCCACGUUGUGCAGUGAACCCCAUUGCACAAGGGGUGAAUCCGGGCACUGCAGCAAUGGAGACACAGAACCCACUGUCGAAAGCCAAUGAAUGCUGAAAUUAAGACACUGCUGGAAAGUUGACCGAAGCGAGGGUCUGCAUUUAAAAAACAGAAACAGAGCACCUUCACCACCUAAUGGGAAGGUGGAUGAGGAUAAGAUGAGCAAGGUAUGUAGUUCAAGGUGGUUUGACCAGUACAGGAAACUUGCUGGGGGGAGGAGGGAAGGCCUUGAGUGAGGUGGUCUCAGUCUCCAUGUACAAGAACCAGAUGUCCUCUGCCACCAAGGUGAGUGCUGAGCAGAUGGAGCAGGGUAGGUGGGUGGAGGACAGCACAGGCAGAGUGACAUCCCAGGAUGGCAUCUGUGCCCACCAGUCUGGGAUGGAGAAGCCUUACCA